rnacentral:lncRNA from 1 species
GGGAGCGCACUUGCCCUCGUCGAGCGUGCACUUGAUGUAAGGCACUAGCAGUCUGUCAUUGCCGAGGAUCUCGUCCAGGUCUACAUUGUCAUACUUGUCCGUGUAUGUGGCGCCGUCAGGACGCGCGAUGGUCAAAGUGGCCAGAGA